rnacentral:rRNA from 1 species
AGUGAACGCUGGCGGCGUGCCUAAUACAUGCAAGUCGAACGGAAUUUAAAAGAGCUUGCUCUUUUAAAUUUAGUGGCGCACGGGUGAGUAAUAUAUAGCUAAUCUGCCCCUUGCUGGAGGACAACAGUUAGAAAUGACUGCUAAUACUCCAUACUCCUUUUUACCAUAAGAUAAAUCGGGAAAGAAUUUCGGCAAGGGAUGAGACUAUAUCGUAUCAGCUAGUCGGUGGGGUAACGGCCUACCGAGGCUAUGACGCGUAACUGGUCUGAGAGGAUGAUCAGUCACAUUGGAACUGAGACACGGUCCAAACUCCUACGGGAGGCAGCAGUAGGGAAUAUUGCGCAAUGGGGGAAACCCUGACGCAGCAACGCCGCGUGGAGGAUGACACUUUUCGGAGCGUAAACUCCUUUUGUUAGGGAAGAAUAAUGACGGUACCUAACGAAUAAGCACCGGG